GACGUAGGGGGCAAGCGUUGCUCGGAAUCACUGGGCGUAAAGCGCACGUAGGCGGCUUUUUAAGUCAGAGGUGAAAUCCUGGAGCUCAACUCCAGAACUGCCUUUGAUACUGGAGAGCUUGAGUCCGGGAGAGGUGAGUGGAACUGCGAGUGUAGAGGUGAAAUUCGUAGAUAUUCGCAAGAACACCAGUGGCGAAGGCGGCUCACUGGCCCGGUACUGACGCUGAGAUGCGAAAGCGUGGGGAGCAAACAGG
rnacentral:rRNA from 1 species